rnacentral:rRNA from 1 species
UAAAAUCUACUUGAUCUUGACACAAUCCUACUUGGAUAACUGUGGUAAUUCUAGAGCUAAUACAUGCAUUAAAGCUCUGACCUCACGGGAAGAGUGCACUUAUUAGAACAAAACCAAGCGGCUUCGGCUGUUUCUGGUUGACUCAUAGUAACUGAGCUGAUCGCACGGUCUUGCACCGGCGACGUGUCUUUCGAGUAUCUGCCGUAUCAACUUUCGAUGGUAGUGUAUCUGACUACCAUGGUGAUCACGCGUAACGGAGAAUAAGGGUUCGGCUCCGGAGAGUUCGCCUGAGAAAUCGCGGACACAUCUAAGGAAGGCAGCAGGCGCGAAAAUUACCCACUCUCAGCACGAGGAGGUAGUGACGAAAAAUAACGAGACCGUUCUCUUAUGAGGCCGGUCAUCGGAAUGGGUACAAUUUAAACCCUUUAACGAGUAUCUAUGAGAGGGCAAGUCUGGUGCCAGCAGCCGCGGUAAUUCCAGCUCUCAAAGUGCAUAGAAUUAUUGCUGCGGUUAAAAGGCUCGUAGUUGGAUCUGUGCCAUAGGACGUGGUCCACCUUCUGGGUGCGUACUAUGUUCCUAGGCUUUUUGCUGGUUUUCCCGUCGUAGCCUUAACUGGUUGCGGCGGGUGGCUGGCGAGUUUACUUUGAGAAAAUCAGAGUGCUCAACACAGGCGUAUCGCUUGAAUGAUUGUGCAUGGAAUAAUAGAAAAGGAUUUCGGUCCUCUUUUAUUGGUUUUGUGGACUGAGAUAAUGGUUAACAGGGACCAACGGGGGCAUUCGUAUCGCUGCGUGAGAGGUGAAAUUCUUGGACCGUAGCGAGACGCCCUACUGCGAAAGCAUUUGCCAAGAAUGUCUUCAUUAAUCAAGAACGAAAGUCAGAGGUUCGAA